rnacentral:rRNA from 1 species
GACGAACGCUGGCGGCGUGCUUAACACAUGCCAGUCGAACGGAAAGGCUCCAGCUUGCUGGAGUACUCGAGUGGCGAACGGGUGAGUAACACGUGGGUAAUCUGCCCUGCACUCUGGGAUAAGCCUGGGAAACUGGGUCUAAUACUGGAUAUGACCUUUCUCCUUAUGGGGUUUGGUGGGAAGUUUUUCGGUGUAGGAUGAGCCCGCGGCCUAUCAGCUUGUUGGUGGGGUGAUGGCCUACCAAGGCGACGACGGGUAGCCGGCCUGAGAGGGUGAUCGGCCACAUUGGGACUGAGAUACGGCCCAGACUCCUACGGGAGGCAGCAGUGGGGAAUAUUGCACAAUGGGCGGAAGCCUGAUGCAGCGACGCCGCGUGAGGGAUGACGGCCUUCGGGUUGUAAACAUCUUUCAGCAGGGACGAAGCGUAAGGGACGGUACCUGCAGAAGAAGCACCGGCUAACUAUGG